rnacentral:rRNA from 1 species
GACAGAGGGUGCAAACGUUGUUCGGAUUUACUGGGCGUAAAGCGUGUGUAGGCGGCUUUGCAAGUCGGAUGUGAAAUCCCACGGCUCAACCGUGGAAGUGCAUCCGAAACGGCAUCGCUUGAGUCCCGGAGAGGAAGGUGGAAUGCUUGGUGUAGAGGUGAAAUUCGUAGAUAUCAAGCAGAACACCUGCGGCGAAGGCGGCCUCUGGACGGUGACUGACGCUGAGACACGAAAGCGUGGGGAGCAAACAGGG